rnacentral:rRNA from 1 species
GAUGAACGCUAGCUACAGGCUUAACACAUGCAAGUCGAGGGGUAACGAGAGGAAAGCUUGCUUUCCUUGUUGACGACCGGCGCACGGGUGAGUAACGCGUAUCCAACCUGCCCCCAACUAGGGAAUAACCUUGCGAAAGUAAGACUAAUACCCUAUAAUUUCCUCAGAUGUCAUCUGACGAGGAAUAAAGAUUUAUCGGUUGUGGAUGGGGAUGCGUCUGAUUAGCUUGUUGGCGGGGUAACGGCCCACCAAGGCAACGAUCAGCAGGGGUUCUGAGAGGAAGGUACCCCACAUUGGAACUGAGACACGGUCCAAACUCCUACGGGAGGCAGCAGUGAGGAAUAUUGGUCAAUGGGCGGAAGCCUGAACCAGCCAAGUAGCGUGCAGGAUGACGGCCCUAUGGGUUGUAAACUGCUUUUAUACAGGAAUAAAGUUAGCCACGUGUGGUUAUUUGUAGGUACUGUAUGAAUAAGGACCGGCUAAUUCCGUGCCAGCCGCCGCCGUAA